rnacentral:misc_RNA from 1 species
GAAAUGCGAUAAGUAAUGUGAAUUGCAGAAUUCAGUGAAUCAUCGAAUCUUUGAACGCACCUUGCGCUCCUUGGUAUUCCGAGGAGCAUGCCUGUUUGAGUGUCAUUAAAUUCUCAACUUCAUCAGUUUUGUUACAAGACUGUGUGAGGCUUGGAUAUGGGGGCUUGUGCAGAAUGUGUCAAAGCGGACUGCUCCCCUUAAAUGACACUCAAAUCAGGUAGGACUACCCGCUGAACUUAA